rnacentral:rRNA from 1 species
UACGUAGGGGGCAAGCGUUGUCCGGAAUCAUUGGGCGUAAAGAGCGUGUAGGCGGUCCGGUCAGUCGGUUGUGAAAGUCAAGGGCUCAACCCUUGAAUGCCGGCCGAUACUGCCGGGCUAGAGUCCGGAAGAGGUGAGUGGAAUUCAUGGUGUAGCAGUGAAAUGCGUAGAGAUCAUGAGGAAGACCAGUGGCGAAGGCGGGUCUCUGGACAGUUCCUGACGCUGAGGCACGAAGGCCAGGGGAGCAAACGGG